rnacentral:pre_miRNA from 1 species
UAGACAGAUUAUUGUAUUCGACUGUAUUCACGGCGUGAAACAGGGGAUUACACUGUUUUUAAACGCAAAGUGAAUCAAUUAACAUAAUAGACUCCU